UUUAGGAGCCUAAUAAUUUAGAAGAUUUAAUUUAUGAGUCAAGAGAAGAGAAGAGAUCAAUUAGUAAAUCACAAUCCUUCCACUGACUUUAUCAAGUCAUUGAGUUAGAUUAGGAUCAUACUAUUGAAAUGGCACCUAGAUUAGUCAAACUGAUCAAUCUUAAUGGUAUGGGUCAACGCGAAUCACUUAGCGAUUUAAUCAAAACAUAAUUCACUAAAUUGGUCAAGUAAGUGAGAUCGAUGGGAGAGUCUGCUAAGCUUGCCUUAGACACUAUUAAAAUGGCC
rnacentral:lncRNA from 1 species